rnacentral:rRNA from 1 species
GGCGACAGGUAGCGCACACAGGUGAAGUUGAUCGGUAGAGAUCUUUCGCGGAUCUUGAGAGCGGCGUACGGGUGCGGAACACGUGUGCAACCUGCCUUUAUCUGGGGGAUAGCCUUUCGAAAGGAAGAUUAAUACCCCAUAAUAUACUGGAUGGCAUCAUUCGGUAUUGAAAACUCCGGUGGAUAGAGAUGGGCACGCGCAAGAUUAGAUAGUUGGUGAGGUAACGGCUCACCAAGUCUGCGAUCUUUAGGGGGCCUGAGAGGGUGAUCCCCCACACUGGUACUGAGACACGGACCAGACUCCUACGGGAGGCAGCAGUGAGGAAUAUUGGACAAUGGGUGAGAGCCUGAUCCAGCCAUCCCGCGUGAAGGACGACGGCCCUAUGGGUUGUAAACUUCUUUUGUAUAGGGAUAAACCUACCCUCGUGAGGGUAGCUGAAGGUACUAUACGAAUAAGCACCGGCUAACUCCGUGCCAGCAGCCGCGGUAAUACGGAGGGUGCAAGCGUUAUCCGGAUUUAUUGGGUUUAAAGGGUCCGUAGGCGGAUCUGUAAGUCAGUGGUGAAAUCUCACAGCUUAACUGUGAAACUGCCAUUGAUACUGCAGGUCUUGAGUGUUGUUGAAGUAGCUGGAAUAAGUAGUGUAGCGGUGAAAUGCAUAGAUAUUACUUAGAACACCAAUUGCGAAGGCAGGUUACUAAGCAACAACUGACGCUGAUGGACGAAAGCGUGGGGAGCGAACAGGAUUAGAUACCCUGGUAGUCCACGCCGUAAACGAUGCUAACUCGUUUUUGGAGCGCAAGCUUCAGAGACUAAGCGAAAGUGAUAAGUUAGCCACCUGGGGAGUACGAACGCAAGUUUGAAACUCAAAGGAAUUGACGGGGGCCCGCACAAGCGGUGGAUUAUGUGGUUUAAUUCGAUGAUACGCGAGGAACCUUACCAAGGCUUAAAUGGGAAAUGACAGGUUUAGAAAUAGACUUUUCUUCGGACAUUUUUCAAGGUGCUGCAUGGUUGUCGUCAGCUCGUGCCGUGAGGUGGUUAGGUUAAGUCCUGCAACGAGCGCAACCCCUGUCACUAGUUGCCAUCAUUAAGUUGGGGACUCUAGUGAGACUGCCUACCCAGUAAAAAGGAAAAGGGUGGGGGAUAACGUCAAAUCUUCACGGCCCUUACCCCUUGGGCCACACCCUAAUACAUGGGCCGGUACAAAGGGAGCUCCCCUGCGAAGGGUGCAAAUCUCAAAACCGGUUCCUUUUUCGAAUUGAGUCUUCCACUCCCCCCUUUAAAGCUGGAU